CGCCAACCACCUCCGGCCGCCGCCCACCCUGCUCCGACGCGCCCCCGGGCCCUCCUCCUUUCGGGCGCGCGGGCGCACCGCCGGCCCCGCCACUUCCCGACGCGCCGCGGCCCCGCCUCCUCCGGGCGCGCCACCGCCCCGCCUUCUUCCGGUGCAAGGCCGCUGCCCCCACCUCCUCCUAGCACGCCGUCGCCUUCUUCCAGUGCAAGGCCGCCACCCCCACCUCCUCCUAGCACGCCGUCGCCCCCGCCUCCUUCCGGUGCAAGGUUGGCCCCUUCCUUCAGGGCGAGGUGGGUUUGGACUUCAACCCCUCCCGCUCCUCCCAUGCGCCGCCGCGCGUACCCACCCACAACCCCACUUGCGCCCGUGCGCCACGGUUGGUCCCUACCCUGCACCCCGCCUACUCUCAUGUGCAGCCGCGCGCGCUCGCGCUGAACCCUGCCUCCUCCCGACUUGCUCGGCCCCUGUAGCAACGGCUGCCAGAUCACGCGCGAGGCCCGUCCGCGUUGUCGUGCUGCUCCUCCGGCUAGCGGGACAAGACUAUGUCCUGUCGUGAGAGUGAGAGCGGCACAGAGGAUGUCGCCGACGACGAUGCAACGGAGCCGGGCAAGUACAUGAUGUGGGCGCGCCACUGGUGCCUAGUCUCACAGCCCUUGUUCGUCUCUGUGAUGCUGCAGGAAGUUCGAUUCAGCAGCCCGAGCUCGUUCAAAUGCAUGAACUAAAAAGUUCGAGCCGCCUCUCAUGGUCAUCCAUCAGUGAGAUGCCUGGAGGACUUCUCCGUCGACUUGCAGGUUCAGCAAUGGAUAAGGAAGCUGUCCUUGACCAUUUUCUCGUGUACAGGCUGCAUGAGGCGUACAGAUCCAACUCCCCCGCCCGGCAGCUAUGGCGUGUGGCUGCCCAGCACAUCAGCGCCUCCCAAGGUCCAUUUUCUAAGUGAUUUUCUUGUCUGAAGUUCAGACGUACUUGCAGGCACCACCAUGACGAACCAGCUCAUCCUAUUUUGGACAGCAAAUCAGAGAAAAUAUUUUAGGCGGAAUGCAGUUAAGAGAUAAUGGGGAAACGAGGGUUCAAAGAUACUUUUUAGUACAUGCGGAGAGCUUUUUCAGUGCACUGUAGCCAAAAUUCUGCUCUGAAGGCCAAACUACUGACGUGUGGCUUGCUAGCACUAGUAGAUCUUGGGAUAUGGGCACACCAGGAAGAAGACAGAAAAGAAAAUGGUGAGUUGGAGAUCGCAAGUUCACUGCUUAAAAGGAUAAGAUCCCUGUUGGUUUUAUAUAGAGAACACCCAGCGGGGGUAAAAAGAGCAUCACUUUGUCCAAGUCCACCAAUCAAAUUUUUGCUCUGUUUAAAGGUUUACGUCACUGUCUAAAAUUGUUAAUUGUUUCUGUAUGUUUGAGCAUCCGACCUAAGUUUCUUGUGAGGCGGUUUAAUUACAGUAAUUUUGUCCGUUCAGUAAUAUGUGUACAAGUUACUGUAUACAAAUAAAAAAGCUAAGAAAUUUACUCA